CACGUAGGCACCAAGCGUUGUCCGGAUUUAUUGGGCGUAAAGAGCUCGUAGGCGGUUCAGUUAGUCGGGUGUGAAAACUCUGGGCUCAACCCAGAGACGCCACCCGAUACUGCUGUGACUAGAGUACGGUAGGGGAGUGGGGAAUUCCUGGUGUAGCGGUGAAAUGCGCAGAUAUCAGGAGGAACACCAGUGGCGAAGGCGCCACUCUGGGCCGUAACUGACGCUGAGGAGCGAAAGCAUGGGUAGCAAACAGG
rnacentral:ncRNA from 2 species